rnacentral:lncRNA from 1 species
GGGAACGCUUGUUUUGUGUUGCACCCCCAUAAAGCGGUGGUAUCGUCCACUCUCACGGAAACGCCGGCUCCAGCCAAAACUCCGGCAAAAGAGAAGCAGGUGGAACUGAGACAGUAGUGAGAGUGUGACUGAAAGUGGAAAAGUGCUCACAGCCUGGCAAACAUCAGCACGCUGUCAGAAACGCUGGACAAGCUUCAUUGCUUAGAUUUGAAUGGACAAGGCAGCCAGAAGUAUACAGCCCAGCUAGUGA